rnacentral:rRNA from 1 species
GACGAACCGUGCGAACGUUGUUCGGAAUCACUGGGCUUAAAGGGCGCGUAGGCGGACCAUCAAGUCAGGGGUGAAAUACUUCGGCUUAACCGGAGAAGGGCUUUUGAUACUGGUGGUCUCGAGUGGUGUAGGGGCAUGUGGAACUUCCGGUGGAGCGGUGAAAUGCGUAGAUAUCGGAAGGAACGCCGGUGGCGAAAGCGACGUGCUGGACACCUUCUGACGCUGAGGCGCGAAAGCCAGGGGAGCAAACGGG